rnacentral:rRNA from 1 species
AUUGAACGCUGGCGGUAGGCCUAACGCAUGCCAGUCGAGCGGAUGAAGGGAGCUUGCUCCUGGAUUCAGCGGCGGACGGGUGAGUAAUGCCUAGGAAUCUGCCUGGUAGUGGGGGAUAACGUCCGGAAACGGGCGCUAAUACCGCAUACGUCCUGAGGGAGAAAGUGGGGGAUCUUCGGACCUCACGCUAUCAGAUGAGCCUAGGUCGGAUUAGCUAGUUGGUGGGGUAAAGGCCUACCAAGGCGACGAUCCGUAACUGGUCUGAGAGGAUGAUCAGUCACACUGGAACUGAGACACGGUCCAGACUCCUACGGGAGGCAGCAGUGGGGAAUAUUGGACAAUGGGCGAAAGCCUGAUCCAGCCAUGCCGCGUGUGUGAAGAAGGUCUUCGGAUUGUAAAGCACUUUAAGUCGGGAGGAAGGGCAGUAAGUUAAUACCUUGCUGUUUUGACGUUACCAACAGAAUAAGCACCGGCUAACUUCGUG